GUCGAUGUAGCUCAGCUGGAUAGAGCAACUCCCUUCUAAGGAGUAGGUCGGAGGUUCGAAUCCUCCCAUCGACG
rnacentral:tRNA from 1 species